AUGAAGUCAUUGCUUGUUUUCUUAAUAGUCCUGUCAUGUUUAUCAGGGGUCUAUUGUGAUGUGCAACUUGCCCAGUCAGACCCAGUGGUGAUAAAGCCGGGAGGGUCUCACAAACUGUCCUGCACAGCCUCUGGCUUCACAUUCAGUAGCUAUGCAAUGAGCUGGGUUAGACAGGCUCCUGGGAAAGGAUUACAGUGGGUGUCUACUAUCUAUGACGGGAGUAGCACAUACUAUGCUGAUUCAGUUAAAGGAAGAUUCACCACCUCCAGAGACAAUAAUAACAACAAGUUAUAUUUGCAAAUGAACAAUCUACAGACUGAAGACACAGCCGUGUAUUACUGUGCUAGACGCACAGUGACAAAAGAACACAGGACAGUGUAG